rnacentral:lncRNA from 1 species
GUGUGGAGCACAAUGUUCAGCCAUCGUGGAGACUAUGAGAAACAAAUCCGUGUGUACAAACUGCCAAAACAUAAAAGGUUCUGCUCCUGGCCUGGGAGGAGGUCUGGCCAGCCCUCAUCAUGACACACUGCUGGGCAGGUUUUGGCAAAAGGAGAAUAUCCCUUCCUCCUGGAACCCUCUUAUGACUGGUAGGCAAUCCAGGCUGACCUGCUCUGGACUGCUUCAAGAGUUUAUUUCAUUUUCCUUAUCUAGAUCUCAUCCCAGGAGCUCCAGGGCAAACUCCCCCUCCACCAGCGCAGGGACAAUGUUGCCAGGCAAGAAGAGACAGCAGAGCAAACACUCCAGCCCACCCCAUUGUCAGCUGCUGUGCUGGAUUAAACAAGACCAGAAUUCACUCCUCUUAUUGCAGCUUGUGAAGACAUUUAGUGUCCUUGACCAUAGAACGCUAGGAAAGUGCUGCUGUGGCAUUUUGUACUGCCCUGUGCAUGGGAGGGAGCAUAAAGCAGAGUUUUAUAGAAGCAAGAACACGUGA